rnacentral:rRNA from 1 species
CCUACGGGAGGCAGCAGUGGGGAAUAUUGGACAAUGGGGGAAACCCUGAUCCAGCAAUGCCGCGUGAGUGAUGAAGGCCUUAGGGUCGUAAAGCUCUUUUACCAGGGAUGAUAAUGACAGUACCUGGAGAAUAAGCUCCGGCUAACUCCGUGCCAGCAGCCGCGGUAAUACGGAGGGAGCUAGCGUUGUUCGGAAUUACUGGGCGUAAAGCGUGCGUAGGCGGUUAUUCAAGUCAGAGGUGAAAGCCCGGGGCUCAACCCCGGAACGGCCUUUGAAACUAGAUAACUAGAAUCUUGGAGAGGUCAGUGGAAUUCCGAGUGUAGAGGUGAAAUUCGUAGAUAUUCGGAAGAACACCAGUGGCGAAGGCGACUGACUGGACAAGUAUUGACGCUGAGGUACGAAAGCGUGGGGAGCAAACAGGAUUAGAUACCCUGGUAGUCCACGCCGUAAACGAUGAUAACUAGCUGUCCGGACACUUGGUGUUUGGGUGGCGCGAGCUACGACAUUAAGUUAUUCCGUCCGUCGGGGUAGGUACGGUCGGCGAAGAAUUAAAACUUAACAAAGGAAGUUAGUACGGCGUGAGACGUGCCGAACGGACGACGACGAGGGAGGUAGG